UUGCCCAAUACAUUGGUGCAGACAUUAGGU
rnacentral:piRNA from 1 species